GACGAACGCUGGCGGCGUGCUUAACACAUGCAAGUCGAACGGAAAGGCCCUGCUUUUGUUGGGUGCUCGAGUGGCGAACGGGUGAGUAACACGUGAGUAACCUGCCCUUGACUUUGGGAUAACUUCAGGAAACUGGGGCUAAUACCGGAUAGGAGCUCCUGCUGCAUGGUGUGGGUUGGAAAGUUUCGGCGGUUGGGGAUGGACUCGCGGCUUAUCAGCUUGUUGGUCGGGUAGUGGCUUACCAAGGCUUUGACGGCUAGCCGGCCUGAGAGGGUGACCGGCGACAUGGGGACUGAGAGACGGACCAGAAGCCUACGGGAGGCAGCAGGGGGGAACAUUGCACAAUGGGGGGAAGCCUGAUGCAGAAGUGCCGGGUGCGGGAUGACGGCCUUUGGGUUGUAAACCGCUUUCGCAUGUGACGAAGCGUGAGUGACGGUAAUGGGUAAAGAAGCACCGGCUAACUACGUG
rnacentral:rRNA from 1 species